rnacentral:rRNA from 1 species
CGUACACUCCUGCGGGAGGCAGCAGUGGGGAAUAUUGGACAAUGGGCGCAAGCCUGAUCCAGCCAUGCCGCGUGAGUGAUGAAGGCCCUAGGGUUGUAAAGCUCUUUCACCGGUGAAGAUAAUGACGGUAACCGGAGAAGAAGCCCCGGCUAACUUCGUGCCAGCAGCCGCGGUCAUACGAAGGGGGCUAGCGUUGUUCGGAUUUACUGGGCGUAAAGCGCACGUAGGCGGACUAUUAAGUCAGGGGUGAAAUCCCGGGGCUCAACCCCGGAACUGCCUUUGAUACUGGUAGUCUUGAGUUCGAGAGAGGUGAGUGGAAUUCCGAGUGUAGAGGUGAAAUUCGUAGAUAUUCGGAGGAACACCAGUGGCGAAGGCGGCUCACUGGCUCGAUACUGACGCUGAGGUGCGAAAGCGUGGGGAGCAAACAGGAUUAGAUACCCCAGUAGUCCCAUGA